GUGUCGUUUCCCUUAAUGGUCACAUAUUCAUUGUAGCUCAUGAAUUUAUAAAAGCAUUCUAGCAACAGUCAUUUGUGUAUAGACUACAACACAUAGUAUUGUAUUGUCAAAGGAAUGAGAUUCGAAGAUUUUCACACAGUUGGCAAAAGACAAUAACUUUCUGUAUACUGAACUUGUCUGUUUAUUCAAAAACAGAGACUCAUUGGUUUUGAGAAGUUCUCUUACCGGUAAUUACAUGUACUGAUACACUGUAUACUAUCUUACAUUGAGAAUUAGAGUUUGAUUUUUUGAGUGUAUUAAAGUGAAAUGAUAAACGAUGUCAAUCAAAUGCAUACCGUAAAACAUGCUAAUAGCAAAGUGCCAUGGUCAAAUAAUUUUCACUCAUUGUAAAUGUAAUUUGUUGCAUGUUUAUCGGUUCAGUUCAUAAAAUGAUAUGAAACUAUCUUCACUUUGAAAGGGAAUUCAUUAAAAGCAUGUGCACUGUAACCCUGUUUUACUGUAUUCAUGUAAUGUCCAGAGGUUGUGUUCACACACUAUGAAUAUUGAAUGAAUACCUUUGUAAUCAGAUUUUCAUAAUUUUUCAAUUUCUGACAAUUAUUGGAUAUUAAUACAAUUUUUUUUAAAAUUUUGAUUUGACGUAAUUUUAGAGAUUGUGGAUGUAAAUUAUUGUUUAAAAGAUUCAUGUAUUUGUAACAAAUAAACUUUUUACAAAUUAAAAUACUGGUACAUAUCUAUACCUGUAUAAGAAAUGUUUAAUACCAGUAAAUAAAAUCAUUUUGGGGGAUAAAUUUUAAGCUUUGGAUUAAGAACGUUUUACAUUAUUUAUAGUGUAAACAGUUUUAAUACAAAAUUAAUACAUAGGUAUUACAGGAAGUGUCAUUUUAAAAACAUCUAGAAUUACCAGGUAAUUCAAGUCAAAAACCUUAACACAAAUGGAAUGAGAAAUAAAAAGAAAUACCAG
rnacentral:misc_RNA from 1 species